UACGGGGGGGGCAAGCGUUGUUCGGAAUUAUUGGGCGUAAAGCGCGUGUAGGCGGCUUGGCAAGUCGGGUGUGAAAUCCCUCAGCUCAACUGAGGAAGUGCGCCCGAAACUGCUUGGCUUGAGUACCGGAGAGGAUGGUGGAAUUCCCGAAGUAGAGGUGAAAUUCGUAGAUAUCGGGAGGAACACCGGUGGCGAAGGCGACCAUCUGGACGGAUACUGACGCUGAGACGCGAAAGCGUGGGUAGCAAACAGG
rnacentral:rRNA from 1 species